rnacentral:rRNA from 1 species
CCUGACAUCGACUCCGCAGUUAAGCGUGCUUGGGCGAUAUCGUACUAGGAUGAGUGCCUCCCGGGAAUCCUCGUGUUGCAUUCCC